AUUGAACGCUGGCGGCAGGCCUAACACAUGCAAGUCGAACGAGUGGCGGACGGGUGAGUAAUGUCUGGGAAACUGCCCGAUGGAGGGGGAUAACUACUGGAAACGGUAGCUAAUACCGCCUACCAUCGGAUGUGCCCAGAUGGGAGUAGCUAGUGGGUGGGGUAACGGCUCACCUAGGCGACGAUCCCUAGCUGGUCUGAUUGGAUGACCAGCGAAACUGGAACUGAGUCACGGUCCAAGCUCGUACGGGAGGGACCAGGGGGGAAUAUUGCACAAUGGGCGCAAGCCUGAUGCAUCCAUGCCGCGUGUAUGAAGAAGGCCUACAGGUUGUAAAGUACUUUCGGCGUGGAGGCGUUACUCUUAGAAGAAGCACCGGCUAACUCCGUGCCAGCAGCCGCGGUAAUUC
rnacentral:rRNA from 1 species